GCUAAAAAUCUAGCCUAUAAUUUUUUAAUGACACCUCAUUUUCUUAACUAAAAUAAAUCAUUUUAAUAUUUAAGUAAAGGCGAUUGAAAAAAUUCUUAGAGCCUCAACUUUAGUACCGCAAGGGAAAGAUGAAAUAUUAAUGAAAUACUACAAGCACAAAAUAGUAGAGAUUAAAACUCGUACCUUUUGCAUCAUGGUCUAGCAAGUCCUUAUCAAGCACAAAGACAUUUUAGUUUGACUUCCCGAAACUAGGCGAGCUACUUCAAAACAACCUUUAGGGCCAACCCGUCUCUGUUGCAAAAGAGUGGGAAGAUUUUCAAGUAGAAGUGAUAAGCCAAUCGAGCCUAGCGAUAGCUGGUUAUUCAAGAAAAGAAUUUUAGUUCUACUUUAAGCUUCCUUCUGACUCAUAACAAACUAUUAAGCUUAAAAGUUAUUCAAAUAAGGCACAGCUUAUUUGAAAAAGGCUACAACCUAGACAUUAGGGUAAGUUCAUUUUCCUCAACAAAGUUGGCCUAAAAGCAGCCAYCUUUAAGAAAGCGUUAAAGCUCCGUUACUUACAUUAUAUAAUUCUUAACAAUACAUCUAACCCAUCACCAGUAUUGAAUGAUUUCAUAAAUUAUGAAAGCCACCAUGCUAGAACUAGUAACAAGAAAAUGAAUUUCUCCAAAGUGUAAGCAAAAACCAAGAUGGACUACCCAUUGGUAAUCAACGACUCUGAAUAAACUAUAGCAACUUUUCAAGAAAACCCUAUAUUCUCCCCCGUUAACCUAACACAAGAACACUUCUGGAAAGAUUAAAAGGAGAAGAAGGAACUCGGCAAACCUUAGCCCCGCCUGUUUACCAAAAACAUCGCCUCUUGUUUAAGUAUAAGAGGUCCAGCCUGCCCAGUGAUAAUUUAUUCAACGGCCGCGUAAUUUAAAGCGCGCAAAGGUAGCGUAAUCACUUGUUCUUUAAAUGAGGACUCGAAUCAACGGCAUCACGAGGGCUAUACUGUCUCCUUCUCCUAAUCAGUGAAACUAAUCUCCCUGUGAAAAAGCAGGAAUAUCCCUAUAAGACGAGAAGACCCCAUGGAGCUUUAAACAUAACAACACCUUUAAAACUUAAUCAUCUACCUUAUUAACCUGAAAGCAUUGUAUGUUAGUUUUAGGUUGGGGCGACCGCGGAGUAUAAUAGAACCUCCAUAACGAAAGGGCGUAAAUCCUUACUUGAGAAAAACAUUUCUACAAAUUAUUAACAUAACGUUUAAUGACCCGAUCAUCGAUUAACGAACCAAGUUACCCUGGGGAUAACAGCGCAAUCCAUUUUGAGAGCUCAUAUUGACAAAUGGGUUUACGACCUCGAUGUUGGAUCAGGGUAUCCCAGUGGUGCAGCCGCUACUAAAGGUUUGUUUGUUCAACAAUUAAA
rnacentral:rRNA from 1 species